GACGUAGGGUGCAAGCGUUGUCCGGAAUUACUGGGCGUAAAGAGUGUGUAGGCGGUGCUCUAAGUUCGGUGUGAAAUCUCCUGGCUCAACUGGGAGGGUGCGCCGGAAACUGGAGUGCUUGAGCGUGGGAGAGGAAAGCGGAAUUCCUGGUGUAGCGGUGAAAUGCGUAGAUAUCGGGAAGAACACCCGUGGCGAAGGCGGCACUCUGGGACGGUACUGACGCUGAGACGCGAAAGCGUGGGGAGCGAACAGG
rnacentral:rRNA from 1 species